UGCAAUUUCUGUUCUCGGCCGAUGGAGAUAAGGAAACGGAAGCGCUGAGGGUUGGCCAGUGUCAUGUAGGAACUCAGUGACCGGACCUCCCGACCCUUGGGCAGCCUCCUUUCCUGUGGCGUUCUCCCGAUUCUAGCACAGAGAGGAGGCCCAUCCCUGAGUGGAGAUUUCCACUCUCGACCGCUGCUGCACAAGGCAAACAAAGAGACUCGAGGUCAGAGGAAAGCCAGAGAGCUUAGCCGCUGACCUCUCUUGCCGAGCGCUGUCUGGAGACGAGCACAGCACAGGGAGCAGCCAGGCAGGGCGAGUCCCGGGGAACCCAUGGGUCAAACCGCGUGUCCGUCGCAGACGUCUCGCUGGGCUUUGGGAUGCCCUGCCUUCCAUGCCAUAAAACCGGGGGGUCUGGUCCUCAUCAAGACAGCCCUGUCUGACGACAAAAGCAGAGACUUCCAGUGCUUCAGACCAGAAGAGGGGAACUUGUUACUUGGGACAUGCAGGGACACUGCUUGGAAUCCUAAACUCUGCCAAAGGGUUUCCGCCUGCUUUGGUGUGGUUCCGUGUCAUACGUCUACUCUAACAAUUUCAGGUAAAAAUGGGACACAUGGGAAAGUUAUAGAGAUGUUCCUUUUGAUCAUAAAAGAAAAAAAAAAAAAAAAGGAAAAACCCCAGACAACC